UACGUAGGGGGCUAGCGUUGUCCGGAAUCAUUGGGCGUAAAGAGCGUGUAGGCGGCCCGGUAAGUCCGCUGUGAAAGUCGGGGGCUCAACCCUCGAAUGCCGGUGGAUACUGUCGGGCUAGAGUGCGGAAGAGGCGAGUGGAAUUCCUGGUGUAGCGGUGAAAUGCGUAGAGAUCGGGAGGAACACCAGUGGCGAAGGCGGCUCGCUGGGCCGGUCCUGACGCUGAGACGCGAAGGCGUGGGGAGCGAACGGG
rnacentral:rRNA from 1 species